AAGAACUUGUAUCAGAUUUCAGAGUUUUUUGAUCUCUGCCUUCUUAGCUUCAAUAAAAUUCUCUUUCAAUUACUUCCAUUUUACCUUCACCAUUUUAAGUAUUAAACAAGUAACCCAGGAAACGAAGGAAGGUUGGGCUGUGAUGAUCUAAAUAGAAAAGUCGAGCAGCCUGGCCUUGAAGGGAUCGACUGAACCUUCUAAUCUCCGAUGCUUCGAAUUCGGCCUUGGCCUUGACAUGACUGUCAUGGAUGCUAGCAAGGCUCACUUCUUCCUCCUUAUAACACUGAACGUGCUCCUCAGGUUUGAGGCAGUUGUCAGAAGUGUUAGCAAGUCUGACUUUCUUCUCUUCGUGAUGCUGAAUGUGUUUUUCAGGAGAGACAUCCGCAAAGCCAAUCGUGGUAGGUAUUAACAGAUGCAACAAUGACCGGGCCUUCUUCACAAGAGAUCCCCAGAAAACUGAAAAAAUUGCCAUGGCUAUAUCCCGAGAAUCAUCAAUAUCAAUACUUGGAGUAAUGUCUGUCUCCUGAGGAUCGCCAGUAUUUGGAGCAGUCUCCAUAUCCUGAAGAUCGCCAGUAUUUGAAGCAAUGCCUGGAUCCUGAGGAUCCUCAAUAUUAGGAGCAAUGUUCAUAUCCUGAGGAUCGCCAAAAUUUAGCGCAAUGUCUGGACCCAGAAGAUCUUCCAUAUUCGAAAUAACCGACAAUGAAUCCUCCCACACGUGAUGACUGCAAGCACCAUGACCCUGUUUGAAAUUUACUCUUCUGUUAAGGCAGAAGCAAUAGUCCUAAAGUUAUAGCGGACCAAGAAUAAAUUCAUGAUAUUCUAGGCCAAUGGAAAUCAUAUUUAUGAUAUAACAGCAAAAGAAAAAGGGAACAAUCUUCUAUAUCAUAUGUUAUAAACUCUUGAUCAUACAUAUAUAGCUACACCGACAUCAAGACCUCCAAUCCUGAAAGCCCUUUUACCAUUGCUUUCGAUCAAUACGGGGAGGAAUAUUGCAAAAGAAGAUGGUUGCCAAAUACCAACAUAAUUGAUUUCUGUUAAGGAUUAAUGUGUUUCAGACCA